CCUGUAUUAAACAAAGCACUUUAGAACAAUAGUAAUUUAUUUUGUUUCUCCUAUUUCAUUCCUAGUUGUUCUGAAAAAAAUAUAUUGUUUAAGUGGGAUAACUGUAUGGAGGUUCCAACAUGUAUUAAAACAUGAUCACACACAUCGGGAUCUAUAAAAGGUUUCGGUUUCCAAAGAUGUUAUCAGGGUCCACAAAAUUUUAUUAAAGUAAUUAAUUGAGAUUAUCAAAUCAAGGUUUAAGUUUAAGAACAGCAUUUUAUUGGGAAUUAUACCAAUAUGUAUAUGUUAGUGUUUUAGUACUCAACAAGCAUUUAUAUAGAAUGAGUGCUUCUCUCAUCCAUACAAGGCAUUUUAAAGGGAAAUUAUGUAUUAAAAUUUUAUAAAGGACAUAAACAAAACUGAGAGACGUACAUGUUACACUAGUUAAGAGUUUAACUUUAGUCUCUAAUUUGAGUUUAGCCUAGAUAAUUAAUUUAUUGAUGUCGUACUGAUCCUUGUGUUUGUAUGAUUAUAGAGACCGUACUGGAGUAUUUGUGCUGCCUGAUAUUUGGGACUACACACCAAUCUCUCUGGCUGACCUACCUUUUUUUGCAAUUAAAUCUGUUUGGUCAAAAACCAUGCUGGCCGAAGAAACUGAGAUGCUUACUUAUGAGGACAUAAACUAACUUGGAAAGUCCUGAAGAUGCAGUGCUGUCUAAUGCCGCUAUUUCUGUAUUACCCUUUCAACAAUUGGGGUGUUGCACAGAGUAUUGUGGUGAACAUCCAGCAAACAGAAGAAUUAAGAACUAUGUGGAAGCUGACAUUGUCUUGUUGUCAGCCAUAUUGCUACCCUUAGCUAUGUUAUGGUGUCUAAGAUUAUGGAACAAAGUUUAUGGUGUCUAAGAUUCUUUAUACUCCUUGAAAGACUUAUAAUAUUUUUCUGGACUAUGCUGGACUAUUGAACUAUUUUGUUAUUUUUAUUUUUGUAGAGUUAGCCGGAGAGAGAGGAAGUGUUAGCUUACUCAGGCAUGGAUGUACUAUGUGUGUCAUUGAUGUAUGUUGAGUGUACCAAGGAUGGAUUCCAAGGUAUUAAGUGUGGAUAUGACUGGACUAUCGAAAUAGGGAUUUGAUUAGGAAGCAUAGGACGCAAGGUCAUGAUUGGGAUUAUUGCUAGAAUUGCAAACUGAUUAGAAAUGAUCUUAUGAUUUAAUAUGUAAGUGGCCUUUUCAAACUAAUCAAGAAGUGUUUCCCAAUCCCGAUACCUGAGCUAUUUACUUACAUAGUGCAGGUUUUAUAAGUCACUAAUGCUGUCAACGUGAGGGGAUGACAUGUUUACACAGUCAUGGCCCUCACUUAGAAUUUACCCAGAUGUGCUUUUUUUCUCAAUUAUGAGUUUUUGCCACUGGGAUUUUUGACCUGGCCCAAGUUCACUGGGUGGACUGGUUAUCCAAGACCCUGGUCCAAAGAGGGGAAAUAGAUUUUAUUCCCAUUUUUGAUUAUAUGUGUUUACGUUGUGAAUUAUAAUAAUAAUAUUCCCGUUGUUAGGAAUAAUACACUUUGCCUGUUUUGAUCCAAGGCUCAAGUUACAGAUAACAUGAUGUGCAG